rnacentral:rRNA from 1 species
GAUGAACGCUGGCGGCGUGCCUAAUACAUGCAAGUCGUGCGAACAGACGAGGAGCUUGCUCCUCUGACGUUAGCGGCGGACGGGUGAGUAACACGUGGAUAACCUACCUAUAAGACUGGGAUAACUUCGGGAAACCGGAGCUAAUACCGGAUAAUAUAUUGAACCGCAUGGUUCAAUAGUGAAAGACGGUUUUGCUGUCACUUAUAGAUGGAUCCGCGCCGCAUUAGCUAGUUGGUAAGGUAACGGCUUACCAAGGCGACGAUGCGUAGCCGACCUGAGAGGGUGAUCGGCCACACUGGAACUGAGACACGGUCCAGACUCCUACGGGAGGCAGUAGUAGGGAAUCUUCCGCAAUGGGCGAAAGCCUGACGGAGCAACGCCGCGUGAGUGAUGAAGGUCUUCGGAUCGUAAAACUCUGUUAUUAGGGAAGAACAAAUGUGUAAGUAACUAUGCACGUCUUGACGGUACCUAAUCAGAAAGCCACGGCUAACUACGUG